GGCACUGUAGCUCAGUUGGUAGAGCACAUGCUUAACAUCGUCAUCACUGUUGUCCGCAUGUUGUCGUCGGUUCGAGCCCGGCCAGAGUCA
rfam:Puccinia graminis f. sp. tritici CRL 75-36-700-3 supercont2.37 genomic scaffold, whole genome shotgun sequence.